rnacentral:rRNA from 1 species
AAACGAUCCUAGCUUGCUAGGAGGCGUCGAGCGGCGGACGGGUGAGUAACGCGUGAGAAUCUACCCAUGAGUGGGGGACAACCCGGGGGAAACUCGGGCUAAUACCGCAUACGCCCUACGGGGUAAAGCAGGGGACCUUCGGGCCUUGCGCUGAUGGAUGAGCUCGCGUCGGAUUAGCUUGUUGGUGAGGUAAAGGCUCACCAAGGCGACGAUCCGUAGCUGGUCUGAGAGGAUGAUCAGCCACACCGGGACUGAGACACGGCCCGGACUCCUACGGGAGGCAGCAGUGGGGAAUCUUGGACAAUGGGGGCAACCCUGAUCCAGCCAUGCCGCGUGUGUGAAGAAGGCCUUCGGGUUGUAAAGCACUUUCAGCAGGGAGGAAGGCUUACCCCUAAUACGGGUGAGUACUUGACGUUACCUGCAGAAGAAGCACCGGCUAAUUUCGUG